rnacentral:misc_RNA from 1 species
CAAAUACUUCCAUUAUCAGGAAUUAAUUGUUAAUUUGGCAGAAUCUGGGCAAAGUUGAAAUCAGUUCCUUCUUAUACAAAGCACAUACAUGAGCAUUUGUAUUCACAAUAAACAAGUCAAAUCAACAAGUCUGAUCAUAGUUCUAGUUAGUUGUUCAAUAGAUAUGGCGCUCGAGAGAACAACUUGUGGGGUUUUCAUAGGGAUUCUUGCGAUACUUGGAGCAGCUUUUGGAUGUCCCUCUGAUAUCUGCCAGUGUAAUAAUGACGACAUUAUAUGCUGGGGGCAGGGAAUAGGAAAGGUUCCAGAGUUUAAAGUUUCUGAAAAUGAUCUAACCCAAGUCUACAAUACGCUACAUUUAGAAGCUAAUGACAUCGAAGAACUUCCACCAAAUGCAUUUGGAAACCUACAGGUGCGUCGCAUUAUGCUUGGUGCCAACCCCCUCGGAAACUCCAUCUCCCCACUGGCGUUCACGGGCCUCGAACGCUCACUCGAGUCGCUGGAUCUCUGGGGUUGUGACCUCGAUCAGCUACCCAGUGGUGUAUUUCAAAACCUGUCGGCGCUGAAAACGAUCGACCUCACGGACAACAACUUUGAUUAUAUUCCUAUAGAGGAAUUGAGAGAUGUGAAAGGUCUACGGCGACUAAGCAUGGAAAGUAACAGUCUAAAGGCUGUUCAGAAGGGAUCUUUUGGCGAGAUCAAUCAAAUAGCCGAGCUACAGUUGCAAUACAACCGUAUUUCUGAAAUUGAAGAGGGAGCAUUUGCCGGUUUGAGUAAUCUUCGACGACUGAGGUUACAUAAUAACAGAAUAAGCUCGUUAACUCCCGAUGCAUUUACAGGUUUGGACAAUCUCGGGGAGCUUGAUAUGUCAGGAAAUCCACUCGGGAAGCUUGAUAAGGGUGUCUUUUCAGCGUUGUCACGUUUACAAUCUUUGUCACUCGGGCAAACGAAUUUGGAUCAAAUCGAAGCUGGUGCGUUUGCUGGUUUGACUCAUUUGAAAAUCCUCAAGUUGGAUCACAACAAACUUACGGCCCUUCCCGACAGCGCGUUCCCCGCGCUCACACACCUGAGCGUUCUGGACUUGAGUCAUAACAAGUUCGUCGAUCUCGGCGACGCCUGCCUCAGCCGCAUGUUGCUUUCUAGCCUUAUCAAUCUCGAUAACAACCCCAUUGUAUGUGAUUGUAAGAUGGAGUGGCUGAGAGAUAUGGAUUCUGAUCGUGUACGUGGGACAUGUGCCGGGCCGAAGGGGAUGGAAGGUCGAAGCCUUUCUCGAGAAGAUAACUUCAUGGAAUGUCCUAUUCCCAUGUGUGAAGAACUAGCCGAACCGCUUCAGUAGGUUCCAACCCCGGGGGUCCAACGACCUCAUUUACCGAAAAUCAACCUUCGUGAACUAUAUUUUAUUCAGUUACGUUGUUGAUUUUGAAACUAUAAACUUAUAUUUAAUGUUAAACUACUGAAACAUUAUUGAAUGCUAUAUUGGCUAUACGAUGGGACGACUAGGCAUAUACCUCAAUAUGAAAACAUACACUUAACAGUACCACCAUCGGGACUCGGCCAACGUUAGAAAGAUGAAAUAUCUACAAGUGCCCACGUUCACUUCCAAAAGUUUGGCAACCCUAACUUUCCCAUUGGCACUGAGGAAUAUACCCAAGUCCAAUGUAAAUAAAUUAUCUCAAGUGAGAAUUUGUGGCUUUCCCGAAAUCAAUUGCAGGAACAGAAUAUCCAUUAAUUCCAACUUUCGUACAUACUCGCAUAACAAUAUGAUUUUAAGACCUUGGAUAAUAUCCAAGAUGAUUUUCGUAACUUGAAAAAAAUAUAAAUCGAAAGAAUAGAAUAGAUCCGAAUCUUCAAUUUAUAAGACUUUUAAGUGUAAAAUUUAAAUCUUUAUUUUUCGACCAAUUAUAAUUAAAUCAUUAUUUCCAACUCGAAAUGUUUAUUAUUACAGGAUUUUUGAAUGAAAAUUCAAACAUGAACAGAAUUGAACACGAAGUUAGAGAGUAAGGGCUGCCACACUUAUGGAGUGGAGGGUAGACUACCUCAAGUACAUAUUGUAUUCGAAUUCUAUGUUGCAAUCAAUCAAAUAAAAUCAAUUAUGAAACUGACCAAAAAGGAACUAAGAAUACAUUGUUAUGAAUUGUUUAUUGCACUCUGUAUCAUGACCUACAUUCUCUCCCUGGCUGGAAGAAAUGCAAAAACAAAUGACUUAGCAAGCCAACCCGACAAACUGAUCAUGAUAUAUUAUAACAUUUUAUAAUAAUAUAAGUACAGUAAAGCUAUUUACAUCAGUCCGCUGGCUUCAUUCAAUUUUAUAAACUCUAUAAAAAUUAUAUCAUGAAUUAUAUACAUACAGAAUUCAUCUAAACCACAUUAAAUGUUUUUGGAAUGUUCAGUAAGUUGAAUACUACACGCGAAAUAAA